ensembl:lncRNA
GUAUGAGGCUACAUUUGCAUAACUCCUACCAGGGGUGUGACUCCUGAGAUGGAUGUUCAUUCUGCAAUAAAGAUGACAGAAUAGAGGUGGAUUUCUGGUGUCAAACAAGUGACUCUUAACAGAUAGACAACUUGUCAGAAAACAAAGACACGCUUAUUUUUCUUCUCCAAGGUCUCUCUUCUUUUCUGGUGCAAUAAACUGAAGGACAUGCAAUAGCUUAGGGUGACUUCCUUAGCCUAUCUUCACACACAUUUUCUUCUCUCUCAUAUUUUCUGCUGCUAGUUUUGCAGACUUCAAGAUGUGAGUCUAAAAAUAAAGACGCACGAAGAUUCAAUCACUACUAUUCUUUUAUUUAAAGCUCUGGACAAUUACCGAGGAGAAAAAGAACGUGGGGGAUGAAAAAUAGAGAUUAGGAAAAUUGAAUAAGAAAGUCAUUACGUACAAUACAUCAUUUGCUAUAUGGUGCUUUGUGAUUGUGAAUUUUAAUAAUGAGUCAGAGAAUAGUUAGGAUUCUUACAGAGUAUUAUGACCCUGUAAAAUUAUUCCCACCAGGGCAUUUUCAUAAGUGCCUUGAAGAUUAAAUUGAUAUUUAAAUAUACCUUUCUAAAAAGGAUAUUGUUUUCUACAUUUCUAGAAAAAUGAUCGUGGUUGUCUAAUUAACAUUGGCCAAUGACCACUAUGCUCAUUUAGUAAUUGGGAAAUUCUCUGAAAUGAUGCAUGCAGUUAAUCUGGCAACAACAGAGUAACAAAUAUUUGUAUCUAAAGACUAUUUAAAUUUUUUUUUUUGGUACCGGGGAUCGAACUCGGGUCCUUGCGCUUGCACAGCAGGUGAGGAAACCACUGAGCUAAAUCCCCAGCCCAAGACUAUUUAAAUUUUGACAGGGGUCUGAUGCAUAUGUGUGUACUGAAAGGAUUAAGACAUGUCAUAAUAUAGUACAAUACCUUUCAAAAAUAAUGAAAAAAACGAGUAGUGCAUUUUCUCAUUUCAUAACUCAACAGGACAAAUUCAUAAGGAGAUACUAAGCAAUACGGAAUCCAGAGAAGAAAACACAGGAUCUCAUUAUGGCUGUUAUUCAUUCAUUUAUUUAUCCAUUCUUGCAUUACAAGAGAAAUUUAUGUAGUGACUAUGGUACUCAGAUAAACAAUGAUAAAUAUGACAUCCUCACCAGCCACAUUUUACCUAGGUUCUCAAAGGGGAGAUACAAGAAUAAGUAGGUGGCACAAAGCAAAAUAAAAUACCUUUAUGAAGGGAGACCCAGAGAGAUAGUUCUUUAUGUUUGUAAACAUCAUAUUUAAGUUUGGGUGGGGUUGGAGUUAGAGAUAUUUUAGAAUAGAGUCUUCGGAGCUAGCUUGUGCUAUCUUUUGGAUGUUCAGCAUCCGUCAGAGCUCUGUGUGUUGAAGUCGUGGGAUGCUGCCCAUUUUCUCUUCUUCUCUUUUGCUUCCUAGCCAUGAAGAGAAUGGCUUUGUUCUACCAUAAUGUUCAGUUAAACCACAGGUCCAAAAGCAAUGAGGCUAAAAGUAUCAUGAACCGGAACCUCCACAACUAUGAGCUAACACAAACCUUGACUCUUUAUAAAUUAUUCAUCUCGGGUGUUUGUUAUAAUAAUGAGAAGCUGACUGGCAUACAGUGAAAAAUAUCUAUCACAAAACACUCCAUCUCACUGGGCACAUAAGUUCUGGAGCUGCAGUCACAGGGAAUUUGUGCCUCUCAUUACCAAGUUGCUCUGGGGCCUCUAGGUUGAGUUAAAAAAAACAGAAAAGGACACGGGACUGUCAGCUCCUCUUCCCAGAUUUCAAAUAUUCAAGUUCAGUCCUGAAAUUGCAGUGUAAGGUCCAUGCUCCUUGCCUAUUUGCACACAUUAGACUAUGGAAACUUCACCCAAUUCCUUUGAGAUAUUUUACAGUGUAUAUACAGUUCAUUGACUCUUUGACCUAGUUUAUGAAGAACGAGUACAAAGCUCCCCUUCUAAAUGAGUUUGGGAAGAAUGUGUCUCCUUACAUCCCAGCAAGAGCAAGGACUUGAUAUCCUGAGGAAGGAAUUUAAUGUUGCUAGAGAUGGUUGGCAACAGUCACCACACUAUGGAACCAACAAGAUAUUGAUUGAUUGAUUGAUUGACUGAUUGACUGAGGUACUGUGGAUUGAACCAGGGUCUUCUCAUGAAGCUACAUCUCCAGCCCUUUUUCAUUUCAUUUCAUUUUAUUUAUUUAUUAUAAGAAAAGGUUUGGCUAAACUGCUCAAGCUGAGUUCGAACUUGAGGUCCUUCUGUCUGAUCCUCCCAGAGUGCUGGGAUCAUAAAAGAGGAAAUACAUUUUACAAUACACGCAAACAUUAUGCACAAUUAAAAUUUCAGUAUUCGUCCAUGAAGUCUUAUGGAACAAAGCCAUACUGAUCGCUGGUGUACCGCUUGCCACAAUGUGAGACACUCAUGCUACAGUGGCGGAGUGGGUUGCAAUGAGACAGACUUUAUAGCCUGAGACUUAGACCAUAAGUACUGCUGUAACUGAAUAUCUGAGGCUGGGUAAUUAAUAAAGGACAUAAUUUUAUUUUCACAGAAAAAGUUUGCAGGCACUCGGACUCCACCAACACAGACACAGCUGGAUGGGAAGUGUCCGGACAUGUAGGACGGAGGAUUGGAGUGGUUUUUGCAUACCUAUACUAAGAAUUUGGAUUUUAUUGUCUACUGAUUGAAAGACCCUGACUUCUUCUCAGCAGGGAGAUGAGUACACAUGACAAAACAUGCGUUUUUAGGAAGCUUACUUUAGUGGCAGUGUGAGGGAAGAACUGAGGAGAAAAAUCCAGAUGAAACUGGGAAGCUAUUGGCAUAAUCCCAGUUAGAGGGAAAAUGAGUCGGAAUUCAGGCAGUGAGAGAAAAAAGUGAUGUGUGGAAAUGAAAAAUAAGGAAAAGAGCAUGGAGUAACCCCAGAAUAAUUGCUUGUAUUUGCAAAUGGUGGCAUCAUCUGCCAAUUAUCUGGAGUACCUUGAAGACUGUCUGUAUCUCAAGAGGACAGGAGCCUACCUCAUCUGAAUAGAUUUAAAUACUAUAGCAGAUACAGUCAAGAGCCAACCCAAAGUGUCUAUGGACUCAUCUUUCCAUGCCAAGGGUUGCAUCAAGGAUGUUCAUGGUUCUUGCACAAGCCUUUCUUGUCAUGGCUUCAACCUUCGACCAGGAGGACUACGAGUAAAAGUGAUGUUCCUGCCUUGGACCCAUGGAUUCACUCCAUCUUUGUCAUUCUAUCUCUGGUGGACAUUGAACUUUAUAAAAUGUGAUAAAAAGUACUUUUAGUCUUGGAAGGAGCAAACUGGACUGUCUGAAAAACAACUUUUUAAGUGAAAACGGGAACUUUUGGUGGAGAUCCACUGUUUCCAAAACCUUGAAGGAACAAAGGUUGCCACUCGCCAGCACCUGGGGAGUCAAUAUGCGUCUAUCAGCCACAGAAAGGUGACCAAUACAAAGAAAGAGAAGCAAAGGAAAUUAACCACGAAUGGGUAGAAAGUCUAGCAGUGACCACCCACUGCAAAGAUAAGUAUCAUCCUGCAAAAGGCUCAGAGUUGUUUCAACCUGAGAAGGAGGUUUGGACAUCCCUCACCUGUCAUCCAGAGCCCAAGGGAAGGAACAUACAAAGGCUUGGUCACCUCUGCCUCACCGUGCUUACAUCAGAGAGCUGACAGCAUCCUUCUGCAGAAGCAUAACACAUGUAAGCUACCAAAGAUGAAGACAGACCGAGGCCAGAGUGAGGGUCCAGAAAUGGUUUAAAAAGGCUCCAGGUAUAAUACUGACAUUUUCUUCUAGUAAAGGUGAGGAGACUUCCUUGUUCCUUUUCUGGAAAUAAUGUAUGAUUUCUCUGAUGAUAAACUUAAACACAGUCAUAUACCUUUAUUCACACAUUCUUACUUGAAGGAUUCUAUCAUUUCUGGGUUGUAACAAUGGGGAGGGUAGGAUUGAAUCUGUAUUGAACAUAUACUGAUUUUUUUUGGUCAUUAUUCUCUAAAAGCACAUUAAAACAAAAUUUCCCAUAGCAUUAUUUGUUGUAUUAAGCAUCAAAUAUGAUCUAGAAAUGUUUUAAAAUACUGUACAUGGAAACAUUUGGAUAAGUUCCAUGCAAAUACUACACCAUUUUGGAUUGGUCAGCUUUCCCAUUGCUGGCUCAAAGAAUCUGACACCUGUAACUUAAAGGAAAAAAAGGUUAAUUUUGGCUCACAGGUUCAGAGGGUUCAGUCCCUGGUUGGCUGGCUUGCAAGCAGAAACAUCAUGGCAGAAGGGUGUGGCAAAAGAAAGAUGCUUCCUUCAUGGAGGCCAGGAAGCAGAGAGAGAGAGGAGGAAAGCAACAUAGAGGAAGGAGUCAGGUAUCAGACCUGGUCUACAAGGUCAUGGCCCCAUGCCCCACCCCAAUGCAGCCAAUACGGGGAUCCACCAACACCCUGGCAGCUCCCAAGCUGUUCAAGUUGGCACAAUGAAGCUCAGCCAUCAAACCUUUAAACUAAUGAACUUGGGCAUCUGUGAAUUUUGGUAUCUGCAACAACCAUGGAACCAAUCCUUCACGAUUACUUAGGAACAACUGUAUAGGACUGGGCUGGUUAUAGGAUACUAGCCUACAAUGCUCAAGGCCCUGAGUUCUAUCACCAGCACCACAAAAUGCUACCAUUACCGCUCCCAUGACUAUGGCCACUACUACGCCUAUUAUUGUAAAGGGAAAGCAAAUUUGCAUGUGGAGAAACUCGAAAAGAAGAAGCUAAAGGUCAUGUGUAAAACCAUGAUGUGGUUCGCAUCUAGUUUGUUCUGUUUGUGGACUUUUCCCUAUGCAUGCAUAGACCCUGCCUUGAAAGUGCCUAAUUAGAAAGUUGGAUAUAAUCGCAUCGGCUCUCAGUGCCUGGGGAGCCAGCCAUCCUGUCAGUUCCAGCCUCUACACAUUGGCGUCUACCAUCUAUACUCCGGCAAG